rnacentral:rRNA from 1 species
CGCGAUUCGCCCUUCGGGGUGCCCAGGCGCGAAAACUUUGCAAUACACGAAAGUGUGACAGGGCUAUCCCGAGUGCCAUCCGCUGAGGAAGGCUUUUACCCAGUCUAGAAAGCUGGGGGAAUAAGGAGAGGGCAAGUCUGGUGUCAGCCGCCGCGGUAAUACCAGCUCUCCGAGUGGUGUGGAUGUUUAUUGGGCCUAAAGCAUCCGUAGCUGGCUAAGUUAGUCCCUUGUUAAAUCCACCGAAUUAAUCGUUGGAUCGCGGGGGAUACUGCUUGGCUAGGGGACGAGAGAGGCAGACGGUAUUUUCGGGGUAGGGGUGAAAUCCUAUAAUCCCGGGAAGACCACCAGUGGCGAAGGCUGUCUGCUAGAACGCGCCCGACGGUGAGGGAUGAAAGCUGGGGGAGCGAACCGGAUUAGAUACCCGGGUAGACCCAGCUGUAAACGAUGCAGGCUAGGUGUUUGGACGGCCACGUGCCGUUCUAGUGCCGCAGGGAAGCUGUUAAGCCUGCCGCCUGGGGAGUACGAUCGCAAGAUUGAAACUUAAAGGAAUUGGCGGGGGAGCAC